GGCUACAGCCAUGCCGCCCUGAACAUGCCUGAUUUCGUCUGAUCUCGGAAAUUAAGCAGGGUCAGGCCUGGUUAGUACUUGGAUGGGAGACCACCUAGGAAUAGUAGGUGCUGUAGGCU
rnacentral:rRNA from 1 species